AGUGAACGCUGGCGGUAGGCCUAACACAUGCAAGUCGAUCGGCAGCACAGUAAGAGCUUGCUCUUACGGGUGGCGAGUGGCGGACGGGUGAGGAAUACAUCGGAAUCUACUUUUUCGUGGGGGAUAACGUAGGGAAACUUACGCUAAUACCGCACACGACCUACGGGUGAAAGCAGGGGAUCUUCGGACCUUGCGCGAUUGAAUGAGCCGAUGUCGGAUUAGCUAGUUGGCGGGGUAAAGGCCCACCAAGGCGACGAUCCGUAGCUGGUCUGAGAGGAUGAUCAGCCACACUGGAACUGAGACACGGUCCAGACUCCUACGGGAGGCAGCAGUGGGGAAUAUUGGACAAUGGGCGCAAGCCUGAUCCAGCCAUACCGCGUGGGUGAAGAAGGCCUUCGGGUUGUAAAGCCCUUUUGUUGGGAAAGAAAAGCAGCAGGUUAAUACCCCGCUGUUCUGACGGUACCCAAAGAAUAAGCACCGGCUAACUUCGUG
rnacentral:rRNA from 1 species